rnacentral:rRNA from 1 species
GAUGAACGCUGGCGGCGUGCCUAAUACAUGCAAGUCGAGCGAACGGACGAGAAGCUUGCUUCUCUGAUGUUAGCUGCGGACGGGUGAGUAACACGUGGAUAACCUACCUAUAAGACUGGGAUAACUUCGGGAAACCGGAGCUAAUACCGGAUAAUAUUUUGAACCGCAUGGUUCAAAAUUGAAAGACGGUCUUGCUGUCACUUAUAGAUGGAUCCGCGCUGCAUUAGAUAGUUGGUAAGGUAACGGCUUACCAAGGCAACGAUGCAUAGCCGACCUGAGAGGGGGAUCGGCAACACUGGAACUGAGACACGGUCCAGACUCCUACGGGAGGCAGCAGUAGGGAAUCUUCCGCAAUGGGCGAAAGCCUGACGGAGCAACGCCGCGUGAGUGAUGAAGGUAUUCGGAUCGUAAAACUCUGUGAUUAGGGAAGAACAGUUGUGUAAGUAACUGUGCACAUCUUGACGGUACCUAAUCAGAAAGCCACGGCUAACUACGUG